rnacentral:rRNA from 1 species
GACGAACGCUGGCGGCGUGCUUAACACAUGCAAGUCGAACGGAAAGGCCCUGCUUUUGUGGGGUGCUCGAGUGGCGAACGGGUGAGUAACACGUGAGUAACCUGCCCUUGACUUUGGGAUAACUUCAGGAAACUGGGGCUAAUACCGGAUAGGAGCUCCUGCUGCAUGGUGUGGGUUGGAAAGUUUCGGCGGUUGGGGAUGGACUCGCGGCUUAUCAGCUUGUUGGUGGGGUAGUGGCUUACCAAGGCUUUGACGGGUAGCCGGCCUGAGAGGGUAACCGGCCACAUUGGUACUGCGAUACGGCCCAGACUCCUACGGGAGGCAGCAGUGGGGAAUAUUGCACAAUGGGCGGAAGCCUGAUGCAGCAACGCCGCGUGCGGGAUGACGGCCUUCGGGUUGUAAACCGCUUUCGCCUGUGACGAAGCGUGAGUGACGGUAAUGGGUAAAGAAGCACCGGCUAACUACGUG